AUAGCUAUAGAUACUUGGUGUACUCGUUGUGUGAUUUUUAAUUAGAUGUGUGAGGAAUGUGUUAAACUUCAUAAAGGUGCACUAUUUAAUUCUAGAUUCGUUAAGCAAGAUAUGUUGGUAUUAAGCUGGUAACAUUUCAUUGUUUUCUUCAUAAUCGUUCCAGUUACGUCCUUUGAAUAUAUGAUAAAUUGUUAUGGAUUAAACCCUCAACUUAGAUUAUUGAUAUGAGCAUAAGGAUAUGAUAUGUGGUUUACAAUGAAUAACAUUCAUUUCUAUUUGUUAGUGCUUGAAUGAAUAGGGCAUGUGACUUACCUGAUUUACGUUUCGUUCUUUUAUCCCUUUUGCGUGUUGAAUGCUUGUUCUCAGAGGCUUUCUUUUCUCAAUCUUUGCUCUCUGAGUGUUGGGUAAGAUAUGCCAACUCUGGAUGACCUCCCACUCUCUGCGUUUUGCUCUCUGUUUUUCACUAUGCCCCUUAGUUUUUUCUCUGAGUUUUUUUCCUCCCCGGUUGCCUAAGCUCCUAGGCUUUUUAUAGCUGAUUAGGUGAGUCUCUUGGGUUUCCGCAUAAUGUGUUACUUGCCAUUAUUACUCUUAUCAUUAUUGUUGAUUGCAACUGAAGUUGCAAUUCAUGGUUUGAAUUUGUGAGUGAUUGAAACGACUGACCUUUGGGUUUGCAUCCACUAAUUCUCGUUUAUGAUGAAAUUAUCUGAUUGUCUCGCCCGGGCGAGGGAGCCUCACUUAAGCGAGGGAUCACAUGCUCAUUGUUUUUCUCUCGCCCGGGCGAGGGAGCCUCCCUCAAGCGAGGUAUUCCAUAACACCAAAUCCGAUUUGCACCAGUUGAGAUUCUUAUGAACAUUUUAUAUUAUUUGAGAGGCCGGACAAAAUUUAGUGUUCACUGCUGCCCCUCUUUUCUUAUUACUUAGUGGUUGGCAAGCAAACCAAUGUUUGGGUGUUAUCCCUCUAAUUAAUUAGUAAAGAAAUGAACGCCAAUUUUGUUAGAAUAGACGUAGGCAGCGAUAACCGCGCAACUUUAACCAAGACAAUGUCUAGACAAUAGAGGUGAACAUAGAUCGCAAGUUGAGUACUGCUGGAAUUUGAUAUGAUAAAAAGGUAAAGUGAGAAUGUAGGUCGGGUACUGCCGAAACUCGAUAGGAUAUUAAAGGUUAAAUUAGAAUGCAUGUCGGGUACUACUGGAACUCGAUAAGAGAAAAAGGUAAAGCGAGAACACAGGUCGGGUACUGUCGGAACUCGAUAAGAUAAAAAGGCUAAACGAGAACGCAGGUCAGGUAUUGCCGGAAAUCGAUAAGAUAAAAAGGAUAAAACGAGAACGCAUGUCGGGUACUGCCGGAACUCGAAAAUUCACAUCAGACUUUGGGUCUUGGAAAAUUAUUGAAAGCACACAAGGCUUAGGGUCUUGGAAAACAUAAUUUUAAAACAAGAACGCAGGUUGGGUACUACCGGAACUCGAUAAGAUAAAAAGGUUAAACGAGAACGCGGGUCAGGUACUGCCAGAACUCGGUAAGAUAAAAAGGUUAAAACGAGAACGCAUGUCGGGUACUACUGGAACUUGGAAAUUCACAUCAGACUCGGGGUCCUGGAAAGUUAUUGAAAGCACAUCAGGCUCAGGGUCUUGGAAAGCAAAACUUUUAAACCAGAACGCAAGUCGGGUACUGCCGGAACUCGAAAAUUCACAUCAGGCUCGGGGUCCUGGAAAGCAAAACUUUUAAACGAGAACGCAGGUCGGGUACUGCCAGAACUCGGAAAUUUACAUCAGUCUCGGGGUCCUGAAAAGAUUAGUUGGAAGCACAUCAGGCUCGGGGUCCUAGAAAGCAUAAUUUUAAAACGAGAACGCAUGUUGGGUGUUGCCGGAACUCGAGACAUUCACAUCAGGCUCGUGGUCCUGGAAAGAUUGAUUGAAAGCACAUCAGGCUCGGGAUCCUGAAGAGGAAAGAUUUUAAAAUGUAGGCUAGUGAUAUGUAAUGCUUGAGAAUAUGUCGUGUGUUAUGUCAACAAUGAUGCAAGUCAUGUCAUGUAUGAGUAAAGAAUGAAUGCAUAGAUGUCUUGGGUUAUGAUCUCAUAAUUUUCUAAAAAUCAAACAAACUGUUUUUAUGGACUUGACUGAAAUGCGACCCAUGUUGGACAUUGUUAAAAAGGACUAUCUGCCAGCUCUUGCCAUCCAUUUUUUCCUAGUGUCAUGUUAAGAAUUUAUUGGAAUAGCUGGAUCGUCCAAUAAAUUGCCCCAAUAUCUUUGUCAUAGAAAUGAUGAGAAUCAUUCUGAAUAGAGGUUAUGCCUCUCACUUCAAAAAAACUGUCCUAGUUUGCAUGGUUGAGGAUGAACAAUAAUGAAUUUUCACUUGAGGGUGUUCAUUUCUUUUCCUUAAUUUUUGCUGAGAAUACCUAGGUACAUGUUCGGAAUUCCCUCUUUUUAUUUUGAUAUUAAGUUGCUAUUGAAGGUUUUUAACUUAGUACCACUCUCCCUUUUUUUAGGUUGCCCUUGCGAGUUUUCAACCUAACACUCUUUUUUUUUUUUUUCAUUUUUGCUUGUUUUUUAUAUUGGCUAUAUUUGAACAACCUCAAGUGACAAUCAUAACUGCAUAAAAGCAUGAGUCACCCUUGAAGUUUGAAGGUGAUGAUGCAAGAUCUUGCCUCUCCUUGCUAUAGGGAUUUUGGACUGAUCCUAUGAUGAGCAACUUCAGUGUUGCCCGAGUUAUAGGUUUCUUGGUACUUUCAUUCGAGAAAUGAGGUCAGCCCCCAUAAACUACCCCUGUUUGGAUUGAUACCGUUCUUUUAAUUUCCAUUUGUCAUGUGAAUUCUCUAUGCACAACUCUUUAAAAAGAAAUACUAAACAGUGAUCAAGCAAAUUUGGAUUUUUGUUUUCGGGUUUUGAGUGUUGAUAUGGUGGUGGUGAUGAUGAUGAUGAUGAUGAGAUUUAAUCUGAUGCAUUAAAAAUGAGAUAUUUUCAUCAAAACUUUAUGAUAUUUAUUAGAGUCAUCAUUUCUUUGCCCUAAUACAUUUCUUAGGCAAAUCAUAUCGUCGACAAGGUCUUUUGAGCUUGUAUCGUGACCUGGUAAAGUUUUCCAAGAAAAAGGAUAAGGCUCGAAAAUGUGUUUCCCAAACCCCAUUUCUACGUUCUCCAUUGUCCUAUUUCAACAGUUUCCUUGACAUGACAUUCAAGUACUAAGAUUUUGAUGUAGUAGGUGAAUGUCGAAUAUUUAGGCGAUAAUCUUCCUGAGAGGUAUUUGAAUUGUUCCUUUUUGCAGUCAUUGAUAGUGCACUUUAUUUGCCCUAACUUUUGCCUGAGAUUUUUAUUGAGGAUUCUCAGCGAGCCUUUUGUAUAUUUUUCCUUUUGUUUUUUUAUAUUAUUGCGCACUUUGACCGAUGAACUUUUUAUUUGAAUUGCUUAGGAUUUUUAACCCUCGGGUUAGAUUUGGAAAUGGUAGAGUGCAUUUACUUCUUAACAAUUGAAUGUCAAGGAAAACAGUUGAGAUACUACCCUUCCCAAGGUUAUUGAUAUUUUGUGGGUUUUUUAGAAAAAAUCUCCUUUCAUGAAGCCUAGGGCUCAAAUGGGUGACUAGGGAUAUCUUCAUAGUGUUUGGGAUUUUCAAAGAUGCCUUGUGUCAUAAGAAAGAGUUGCCUUAGAACCUGCACCAUUUUGGGUCAUACAUUUGCAUCAUCCUCCGUUUCAAUUAAUGAACAUCUCAUAUAAAUGCAUGAAUUAAAUUUUUGACUUGUUCCUUUUGUAUUUUUUUUUGUGAAUGAGUUUUGUGGUAUGAAGUAUGGAAUGGAAAUUUUUAUGAUCAAUGUAUUAGUAAGUAAUUGUUAAAAAGAUGUGUAUUAGAAAACACAUCCUUAUUCAUGAAAAGAGAUAUGAGUACCCCACUAUUUAUGACUUUAAAGCCUUGGGGAGGGCGAUAGAGUUUUAUUACAUCAUUUUCUAGUGCCAUGACGACAACUUGGGGUGAUUUGUGCAUUUAUCAAACUAGGACGUUUCCUUGAAAGCGGAUCAAUCUGGUGUUAAUCAGAUAUUGCAAUUUGUUUUUUAAUUGAUCACAAUCCUCUGUGAAGUGACCAAUUUCCCCAGUAUGUUAUUCACAAUUAGAAUUUGGGUUGAAUUCUUGUGGGUAUGGAGGUUCCACCAUCUUUGUGGGGAUAGGAGUCAGCAAUGUUUUUUGAAGAAGUUGUGGCAAUAAUUUGGAGUAUGACAUCGGGAUCGGAUCAUACAAACUCUUCCUUUUUCACUUUCGUGGCCGCCCUUCUUUACCAUUUGUGAAAGAAUAACAUGAUGCUUGUGGAAAAUAAGGCAUUUGAGGUUGGCUGAGUGUCUUUGUGAAUGCGAUUUCCUCUUUCAUAUCUUCACUUGCAAGAUCGCUUUGGAUUAUCCUAUUGGCUGAGUUUUUCUCAAUUUUGUCAUUCUUGGAGUGAUUCUCAAUUCUCUCGCCUAUAGUUAUCAAAUGACGAAAAUCCGAAUAGACAUUUCCAAUCAUCAAAUCAAAGAAGGGAGGUUGUAGGGUAUUGAUAAACAUUGAAACAUUCUCUUCAUCGGACAACCUGGGCUUUACCUGAGCGGCCAAUCCCGACCAUCUUUGGACAUACUCCCUGAAGGUCUCACCAUUUCUCUUGGACAUCUUCUUGAGUAGCAUCCUAUUAGGAUCUUGGUCAAUGUUGUUGUAUUGUUUAAGGAAAGUGUUGUACAAAUCCUUGAAGCAUUUGACAUGAGAACAUUCGAGACACAUGUACCAAGUGAAAGCAGCUCCAAUAAGGCUCUCUUGGAAGACAUGGAUUAGUAGAUUGUCAUCCUCGAUAUAGGAAGUCAUCUUCCUAACUUACAUGGUGAGGUGAUCUCUAGGACAAGAAGUUCCUUGAUAUUUCUCAAAUUCGGGCAUCUUGAACUUUGGUGGCAAUAUCAUCUUCGGGACCAGAUACAUGCUUGUAACGUCCUUCAAACUAUGGAAACUUGCUUCCUCAACAACUUAAUUCUCUUUUCGAUUGCCUUAAUCUUUUCCCAAUAUUGAGGAUUUAUAAAAUUGUGGGACUUAGAGGAAUGAUUGGGAUUACCAUCAACAACUGGGGUUUCCAUAUGAUAUGAAAUUUGCAAAUCUGUUUUUGGGGAUGGUGUAUCAAUAUGAGUAGCUGGUUUAUCUUGUGUAGUCUCGAGAGUAAGAUUUCUUCUUCCUUCUUAAAUCGUUUCAGUCAAGUCCAAUAAUAUCACCUUUAAAAAUCAAUUUUCAACUCAUGAGUAUCCCUCAUUGUGAUUUAUGCAUGAGAUACAUGAAUGAUUGAAAUGUAUGAAUGUCAUGAGGAUGUAAUUUUUGAUUCAUGCAAUAUGUAUGCAUGUUAUAAUUUUCCUUCUUUUUGAGUUCAUAUGACGAUGCAUGAACUGAUUUAUUUUUCUUUUUUCGAUAUUUUGUGGUGGUGUAUGCAAUGCAUGUACGUUGGUGCAUGAAAUGCAACAUUUGAAUGAUUUAUUAUGUUAUUAAGAAUGUAUAUAAAUGAAGAUGAAUGUGUGAUGAUAUAUUAUUUUUUGUAUGAAUGAUAGACGAAUGUUUGAUUUUUUUGGUUUUUGAUUUUCUGAGUGUGCGUAUAAAUGAAUGUGUGAAUGAUUUUUUUUUUUUUACUUUUGACUUAUUAUAUGAAUGUAUGAAUGCUUGAAUCAUAUAAAUUUUGGAAUGAUGUAUAUUUUUUGUAAAUGUUUGAAUUAUGCAUGUAUAAAUGGAUGAAUGAUUUCUUUUAUUUUUUAUGAAUGUUUUAAUGAUGUAUAUUUUGUAUGAGUGAAUGACAUGCAUGAACUUGAUAUAUUGGUGUCAAUGCAUUUUGAGUGCCCCUAGAGUACGAUACCCUAGAGUAAGAUGGAAGAGAACAUAUCCCUAGGGCGAUGAGCCCAUCGACAGGAAUGAAAAUUGUCCCUAGGGCGUUGAGCCCAUAGUAGGGAAUGAAAAAUUAUCCCUAGAGCACUUAGCCCAUGGUAGGGAAUGAAAAUUAAAAUUACCCCGAGGGUGCUUAGUCCAUAGUAGGGAAUGGAAAUUAUUUAGCCGUCCUUAUAGAAUAAGGACAUCAAAGUGCAAUGAUAUCAUCGUAACACUCAGACUGUUUAGGGACAAAAGUUUCAAUUUAUGAAUAAUGAUGCACAAAAUUUAGAUUAUGCUUCCCGUGUCCUAAAGAAGGUACACUCACAAGGUUCUGGAUAUUCUAAAGGUCACAACCUUAUGGUGAGGGUACUAGGUCUUGAUUAAAGUGGACUCGGUAAGAACUUUAGACUUCUAGGUUAUCAUAUCGCAUCCGAUCCCGAAGGAAAGGAAACUAAAUAUCACGGGCUAGUAACGAGAGGGAUCGAGCCCUCCAAGCCGCUAACUCAUGAUACCAGCAACGAUCUGGGUGGUCCAUUCUGCAAAUACCAGAUAUGACUCGAAGUCAUUUACCGGCAAAGCAGAUGUCCCUUCUAUCUCAAAUCCUAAUCACUAAUACCCGGGUCAGGGCAUAUAUGUGUGCCAACUCAAGUGUACAACAUUAGUGUGUGAGGAAGCAUACAAACCUUUUCUUAAAAAUAAAUUAUCACCCCCAAAAACUGCAAAAUAAUUAAACAGAGAGUUCACAAAUAAUAAAUAAAAUAAAAGUAAAGCAUAUAAUAAUGGUAAAAAAUAUGGCAAACAAAAUAUGGGAUUAGCGGCUCUGGGCCUGACCCUCUUAUGGGUGUCCCCAGUGGAGUCACCAGCUGUCGCGACCUGAUUUUCGGUUAGAAGACCGACUCUAUGACUUGGGAGGAGGCGAACUCGAUUUCUACCCCUUCCAAUUGAUUUGGAGUCGCCACUACGUUUUUUGCAGUUAAAACGUAGAAAACUCUCUAGUAAGCCUAAUUAGAAUAAAAUGGUCUUUAGACAGAGAUUCUGAGCUCGGGAGUCGAUUACAGAUCGGGAAAGGUAUUAGCUCCCCAUCUGCCCGUAUUAAAAUGGUACCCUCGCUAAUAACAUGGACUUUUAUACCCUUAACAAUUAUUUAUUUAGAAAUUAAUUAUCNNNNNNNNNNNNNNNNNNNNNNNNNNNNNNNNNNNNNNNNNNNNNNNNNNNNNNNNNNNNNNNNNNNNNNNNNNNNNNNNNNNNNNNNNNNNNNNNNNNNUUUAGCCGCUUUGGUUAAUUGUUAGAGAUUUAGAAAAUAUCGAUAAGUUUAGAAAUAUUAAUUUAUUGAAUUUGUUAAUAUGUAGUUGUUCUGAUUUAAUAAGACUAAUAGUUUUAGAGACGGUGUAGGUCGUGAACCUUCUGCUCAUUUUCAUGGGAGUUAGAGAUGACUCGAACCAUAACCUUACUAUAAAAAUCCCAUAAAAUUUAUUUGAUAAUAGUUUCUAAUUAUUCGUACAUAUAGAAUUUGGGUGAUAAAAUAGUUUAUUAAUUAUAUAUAUAGAAUUAAUAGUUGAGAUGGUGUUGGUUGUAGACCUUCUUCUCAUUUUCGGAGAAGUUAGAGACAACUCGAACCAUAACCUUACUAUAAAAAUCUCAUAGAAUUUAUUUGACAAAAUAAUUUCUCAUUACUUAUAUUUAAAACAAAUUCCUCUUAACUAGAUUUUUUAUUGCUAAAUAAUAGUUUAAAUCUUUUAUUAAAAUAGGUAUCGAUGGGAUUUAGAUCAAUGUAUGCGAUCAUCACUUAUAAGACAUAUCAACUAAUUUCAUUAUGCUAAAAUUGCCUAAAUCACUACGACACAGAUAAGACAAAUAAACGUAAGAGGAAAAUAAAUAAAUAAAUAAAAGUGAAUUAGAUAAAAGAAAGAAAGGUGAAUUAUAUGAUAAAGGGGUUAUCCCUGCUGCUUGACGCAGACCCCAAGUGGAGCAGAAACAAGGAAAUGAAAUCCUUAGGGCACCAAUUCCUUCUCUUUCUUUCUACGAGGUAACGGCAGUGUAGGUUUAGAAUCUUUAAUGGUUGGAUCGAAGCUGAUUGAGGGGUGUCAUGGACAUAAGUCGCAUCAACCAGGACGACUUCCUUCAGUGUUACGCGAUGGACCAGAGGAGAGGUAGUCGUCCUCCUCAUCCUCACGUUUAUGAUUCAUUUUCAAGAAUAAUAGCUAUAGAUACUUGGUGUACUCGUUGUGUGAUUUUUAAUUAGAUGUGUGAGGAAUGUGUUAAACUUCAUAAAGGUGCACUAUUUAAUUCUAGAUUCGUUAAGAAGCAAGAUAUGUUAGUAUUAAGCUGGUAACAUUUCAUGGUUUUCUUCAUAAUCGUUCCAGUUACGUCCUUUGAAUAUAUGAUAAAUCGUUAUGGAUUAAACCCUCAACUUAGAUUAUUGAU
rnacentral:lncRNA from 1 species